AGGACGAACGCUGGCGGCGUGCUUAACACAUGCAAGUCGAGCGGAAAGGCCUUUCGGGGUACUCGAGCGGCGAACGGGUGAGUAACACGUGAGUAACCUGCCCUUCACUUUGGGAUAACCCUCGGAAACGGGGGCUAAUACCGGAUAUGACCUGGCCCGGCAUCGGGUUGGGUGGAAAGUUUUUCGGUGGGGGAUGGGCUCGCGGCCUAUCAGCUUGUUGGUGGGGUAAUGGCCUACCAAGGCGACGACGGGUAGCCGGCCUGAGAGGGCGACCGGCCACACUGGGACUGAGACACGGCCCAGACUCCUACGGGAGGCAGCAGUGGGGAAUAUUGCACAAUGGGCGGAAGCCUGAUGCAGCGACGCCGCGUGAGGGAUGACGGCCUUCGGGUUGUAAACCCCUUUCAGCAGGGACGAAGCGAAAGUGACGGUACCUGCAGAAGAAGCGCCGGCUAACUACGUGCCAGCAGCC
rnacentral:rRNA from 1 species